ensembl:processed_transcript Gm27230 predicted gene 27230
AUGGCUCAACUCCAGCAGCUUGUGCCUGGUGAGACUCGGUUCUGUGGCCUGCUUUCCAGGGCUUCCGUGUAGUCUGGAAUCAGCUAAUGAGAACUGAGAUGAGCAGGAUUAUUUGCGUACAGAGUACAGCCAGCAAAAGACCCACCUGGAUUUUCCCAGCUUGGAUAAGUUGCUUUGUGACAGCCAUGUUUCUCUCCUGUGCACUUUGCUCGCCUAAGUUCCUACACAAACACUCCCCUCUUUCUUCACAGCUCUCAACAGGAAGUACGCCUUUCUGGAGCUAAAACAGGAGGGCACCACAAAGCACUGCAUGGAGGCAUCAGCAGACAGCCGAGGAGAGGGAAGAGAACGCCUCUUGUCACCUCUGAAGCCUUGAAGUUGUGUGUAGGUGCAUUAACCUGCAUUGGCUAUUCAACAACACACCAUUCACAUGGUAUAACAAUAAAAAAAAAAAGUGCUAACACUCCACAGCCAGGAAGAAGGAAAACAUCUGAAGAUGGUAGGUAUUCAGCCGCUAGCUCUCUGUCUUAUCAGGCUCCAUUUGCUUAACAGGGAAGUAUCCAAACAUUUAAGUAUGCAAAUGUGUAAAGCCAAAUGAGACAUCAUUUCAUUCUGUUAUUGUCUUACAGUGAAAGGGAGCAAAUGAGCAAGCCGAUGGACGGCUUCGUGCCAAUUAUCUUCACUACGUUGUCUUUUAUGCGAAGGUAUUGCCGAAAGCAAACCCCCACAUUCUAGCGGCAGCAGUAACAUGAAUAUUUUAGGGGCUGUGCGAUUUCUUUUGUGGGUUAUGGCUGGAAAUAAAAAUUUUAGGUUGCAAGUGCUUUGGCAAAUAUGUAAUAAACUGCCAAGGCUAAAA